AAUAUAAAUUUUAAGUUGCCGAUACUGCGUGUAGUCACGGAAAAGAUAAAUGCGUCAGUUAAGAAACCGGAUUAGAGGCAAGAGAGUGAUUGAGCUGGAUCGUCAUCAAAAAACGAAAGAAAGAAGUUGGAUUUAAAUGAGAGGAGAAGACUGCAGUUGGGGGAUAUCAGCUGGUUCCGAGAUCUCUACCUACGCCGAACAAAACAGAAUAAUCCAGACAUCCAUGUCCCGAGUUAAAAGUAACAGGUGCCUUGUAGAUAUUAAAAAGUCUUCCGCGUGGGAGCAGAGUCAACUGAAGAAACAAGUGAUAGCAAUUUUACCGCACAUGUUAAUCGCUACGUCAACGUAAAACUGCCAGAAUCGAUUCAAGGCGGCUGUCUGAAUAUGGAUCUCGCCUUUCACCCGCCACGCGAGGAAGGUCGGGACAUGAAGCAUAUUACGAGUUUCGUUAAGGUGAAGAGACAUGUUUGCGUUCCAGCAUGUCAUGACAGUCUGAACGUGGUGACCUCUACAGCGAAUAAAAGACUUCCUUCCCAUCAUGAAUAAUUUUGACGACAAACAAGGACAGUUGAAAGUCGAGCGGCCCAACAAUUACUACCGCCUACAAUGUUUUCUUCAAUAAUAUCAGCGAGGAACACCCAAGUGAUACAGAAAAUACCAAAGCGGUCUUCAAAUAUUUUGAAAGAUUUCGUCCCGCGAUGUUCUUCAUGGUUUCUGUUGAUAAACAAGGUUAGGUUUGGUUAAUAAACAUUCCAGCUCUCACUAGUCUUAACAUUUGUGUACGCUGCAAGUGUUUACGUGUGUAUUUGAAUGCGUGACAAGUUGAAGUUUGUUUUACUGAAGUGCAGGUCUAAACAGAGCAUGUUAUUUAAUAUACAGUGCGCUUGUGGAUAAAGUUGAACGCCGUGAGAACCUCAGAUCUCACGCAGGAAAGUCGCUGUGUUACUGGAAGAGAAUUACUUUUCCUGUAAUACUUCCGUAGCAAAGAGUUCGUGAAGAAAUCGUCGCAGAAAUUGUAAAUGGGGCCAAAGUGACACUUCUUCUGUGUCUUUUGGUUGUUGUUGGUUUAUUUAACGAAGUGUUAACUGGUUAUGAUAAAUUGUGGUCUAGGGUCGGACUGUGUGUGGCUACAGAUUACUUUUGGAUUGAACAAAGGAUGGGGCCACUGAACUGCUCAAACAUUCGUUGUAUUAGCUGUUCUUCCACUGGCAUGGCAGGGUUCUUUGAUAUUGAAGGAAGUGAAUGAAUGAAAUGGUCUUAGAUCAUAUUUAUUACCUUUGUUCUUGCGCUUAUCACAGACUAACAAACUUACUUCAUGACACAGAGUCGUCUUUCAGAAACUUGUAGUCGUUCAGCUAGUCAAGAAAUUCCUCGUAUUUUAUGGAACUUUAGUUUCAGUAACGUUUUUAGAAGAUUCGCCAAUAGACACGGCCACAAACAUAAACUUGUGGCUUGUUAGUCUGUCCUCCCAUUAACGUUUAGGUUUUCCAAAUUGUCUCUUUUCGUCAAGAUCACCGAUUAAAAUAUUGUGUACAUUUCUGCCUCCGCUCAAUUCAUUCUUCAUAGCACAACCACCUCAUCGUAUUUGACCUCUUCAUCUUAAUAAUAUUUUAAAACGAGCACAAAUUGUAAAGUUACUCAUCAAAUAUCAUUUGUUCCUGUGCCAUUGAAAAUGCGU